UAGGGAAUCUUCCACAAUGGACGCAAGUCUGAUGGAGCAACGCCGCGUGAGUGAAGAAGGUUUUCGGAUCGUAAAGCUCUGUUGUUGGUGAAGAAGGAUAGAGGCAGUAACUGGUCUUUAUUUGACGGUAAUCAACCAGAAAGUCACGGCUAACUACGUGUCAGCAGCCGCGGUAAUACGUAGGUGGCAAGCGUUGUCCGGAUUUAUUGGGCGUAAAGCGAGCGCAGGCGGAAUGAUAAGUCUGAUGUGAAAGCCCACGGCUCAACCGUGGAACUGCAUCGGAAACUGUCAUUCUUGAGUGCAGAAGAGGAGAGUGGAAUUCCAUGUGUAGCGGUGGAAUGCGUAGAUAUAUGGAAGAACACCAGUGGCGAAGGCGGCUCUCUGGUCUGCAACUGACGCUGAGGCUCGAAAGCAUGGGUAGCGAACAGG
rnacentral:rRNA from 1 species